rnacentral:rRNA from 1 species
UACGAAGGGGGGCUAGCGUUGCUCGGAAUCACUGGGCGUAAAGGGUGCGUAGGCGGGUCUUUAAGUCAGGGGUGAAAUCCUGGAGCUCAACUCCAGAACUGCCUUUGAUACUGGCGAUCUCGAGUCCGGGAGAGGUGAGUGGAACUGCGAGUGUAGAGGUGAAAUUCGUAGAUAUUCGGAAGAACACCAGUGGCGAAGGCGGCUCACUGGCCCGGUACUGACGCUGAGGUGCGAAAGCGUGGGGAGCAAACAGG